UGGGGAAUAUUGGACAAUGGGCGCAAGCCUUAUCCAGCCAUGCCGCGUGAGUGAUGAAGGCCCUAGGGUUGUAAAGCUCUUUCACCGGUGAAGAUAAUGACGGUAACCGGAGAAGAAGCCCCGGCUAACUUCGUGCCAGCAGCCGCGGUAAUACGAAGGGGGCUAGCGUUGUUCGGAUUUACUGGGCGUAAAGCGCACGUAGGCGGACUAUUAAGUCAGGGGUGAAAUCCCGGGGCUCAACCCCGGAACUGCCUUUGAUACUGGUAGUCUUGAGUUCGAGAGAGGUGAGUGGAAUUCCGAGUGUAGAGGUGAAAUUCGUAGAUAUUCGGAGGAACACCAGUGGCGAAGGCGGCUCACUGGCUCGAUACUGACGCUGAGGUGCGAAAGCGUGGGGAGCAAACAGG
rnacentral:rRNA from 1 species